GACGAACGCUGGCGGCGUGCCUAACACAUGCAAGUCAACGAGAAAGGGGUAGCAAUAUCCUGAGUAAAGUGGCGCAUGGGUGAGUAACACGUAGGUAAUCUGCCAUCAGGACGGGGACAACCACGCGAAAGCGUAGCUAAUACCCGAUGAAUCAGCGAUGCCGCAUGGCAUUGCUGUUAAAUACCGCAAGGUGCCCGAUGAUGAACCUGCGCCCAUUAGGUAGUUGGUGAGGUAACGGCUCACCAAGCCGACGAUGGGUAGCUGGUCUGAGAGGAUGAUCAGCCACACUGGAACUGAGACACGGUCCAGACUCCUACGGGAGCAGCAGUGAGGAAUAUUGCGCAAUGGACCGAAAGGCUGACGCAGCGACGCCGCG
rnacentral:rRNA from 1 species